CGGACACGGUGCCGCCCGAUGAGGCGGAGGAAUCCGGGGCAGAGCCGCAAGGACCCACGGGAAAUGUAAUCCAGCCAAGGACAGUCUGCUCCCAGUGGGAGUGUAAAUGAGCAACACCACACUGGAGAAAAGUCUGUGGGGCCACGAUGAAGAUGUGUAUCUCCUACAGCCCAGCAACUGCCCUUCUCGGUUCCAUAAAGACACUGCACACACAGGCAAGCAGACCAACUUGCGUGUACUAAUCAUCUAAUACUGGCAAGGAAGCAGGCCUUUACCUCACACACUGCGCUGUGCUGUGGGGGCUUACGUAUGAACAAGCCUUCUGGAGGAUGAUUUUACAAUUCCUGUAGCAGCAGCCCUAUGGCAGUAAUUCUAUUGCUAGGAAUUUACUAGAAGCAAAAAACCAAAGAUACACGCACAAAGAUGUUCGUUACACUGUUAUUUAUAAUGCCUCCUCCACCCAAAAAGUAAAUAAAUAAAAUGAGAAAAAAAUAAAGACCUAUUAAAUCCACAUGAAGAAAUGCUAUUCCAUCAGUUAACAAUUGUGUUUGAGGGGAAUAAUGAAUUGUAUGAAAACAGUGUUCACACAUGAAGAAAUGCUAUUCCAUCAGUUAACAAUUGUGUUUGAGGGGAAUAAUGAAUUGUAUGAAAACAGUGUUCACAAUAGCUAGGUGAAAAAGGCAGGUUAUGAAAUAAUACCUACACAGUGUGACCCCAAAUCCAUUAAAUUAAGAAACACACAUAAUUAUACACACACUAACAGAAAAGGAAAAAAUAAUAAACAUAUCAAAAUGCUGGUAACAGUUCUCUGAAUGGCGGGACUGUGCUUAUUUGUCUUUUUUAACCUUUCUUGUAUUUCCCACAUUUGAUCUAGCCAACAUUUACUUUUUUUAUAACAGGAAAAAAGUUACAGUAGUAACGCAGUCAACUUAGAUUCGUGUACUAUUAUUCUGAGUGACUGAUUUCAUUCUUAAAUCUUAGCAAUCAACAUGAACAGAAAAAAAAUUGUUUUCUUCAUGGCAAAGCCACUAGACUAAAAGCUCCAUGAGGGCAAGAAGCAUCACAUCAGCUUGCUCAUGACUGUACCAACACCCGGCACAACAACCUACUGAGCAGGCCCUCUAAACUCAAUACAUAACACCAAGACCGCAAAUCAAUGUCUACUGCACCAUUCUUAAAUGCCUGGAGCAACUUGAGUGUAAUCUGAUCCCUGCCUAAAACUGACCAAACUCCAUAUAUAACCUUUUGAUAUAAUAUUCAGAGAAAGGAUCAGGGGCUUUGAAAACAGAUAUAACUGAGCCUGAAUCUCAGCCCCACCAUUUUCAAGCUAUGUGAUACUGGACAGUAACCUGAUCUCUCUAAACCUUCUUUUUCUCAUACUCAAAAUACUGAUUCCUAUAGGAUUUUUACCAGCGCUAGA